rnacentral:rRNA from 1 species
AUUGAACGCUGGCGGCAGGCCUAACACAUGCAAGUCUAGCGAGCGUCGGACGGGUGAGUAAUGUAUGGGGACUGCCCGAUAGAGGGGGAUAACUACUGGAAACGGUAGCUAAUACCGCAUACUAUCGGAUAACCCAUAUGGGAUUAGCUAGGAGGUGAGGUAAUGGUUCACCUAGGCGAAGAUCCCUAGCUGGUCUGAGAGGAAGAUCAGCCACUCUGGGACUUGGACACGGCCCAGACUCCUACGGAGGCAGCAGUGGGGAAUAUUGCACAAUUGGCGCAAGUAUGAUGCAGCCAUGCAGGGUGUAUGAAGAAGGCCCUAGGGUUGUAAAGUACUUUCAGUCGGGAGGCGUUACCGACAGAAGAAGCACCGGCUAACUCCGUGCCAGCAGCCGCGGUAAUAC